UUGUCCGCUAUCACUGGACCGUCAUUUUUCAGUCUCAGACAGAGAUACCUUCUCUGAAUUCAUAGAAGCUGCUCUCCGUUCUGAAGGGAUUUAGAAGUGAUAAAUCCAG
ensembl:miRNA Mir717 microRNA 717